rnacentral:miRNA from 2 species
CCUCUUUCCCUGUUGCACUACU